GUCAAAUUUUAUUUCCAUAAUUUCAAUGUUGGGUAUAUACCCAACUAAAUGACAUUACUCAAUACGCUUUUUUUGGUGCUAUAAUCUGCAUGUAUUUUUUUCUUCAGCAUAAUUAAUUUGUAUUUGUACGUCGAUAUCCCCACCUAUUGCUUGAUGGCUAUGGUUGGAUAUUGUGAUGCUCAUGUGAUGCAAAUAGAAAGCAAUUUGUUGAUGCCCUACCUAAUAAUAUACAAUUAGAUCCUCAAAAAGGUAUGUAAAAUAGAUGUUACUGAAAUGAAAUGAUUAAAACAGGCCAAACAACAUUUUUGUACUUGUCAGAUAUACCAUAUCCUAGUUGCAUACACAUAUUAGCAAUGGAAAAAAUAUCUGGUUGUGUAUGAUAGAAAGUUUGGUAUUGAAGCCAAAGAUUUUAUUGAAAAAAAAUCCACAUCCAUGAUGCAGUCUGUUUUCAGUGAUCAUUCCUACCAUGAGAUGCAACCUGAAGAAGUAUAUUUUGUUAUGUGAAAAUAACUUUUUUGUACAAAUACACGUAUUGUUUCUCAA